rnacentral:rRNA from 1 species
GACGAACGCUGGCGGCGUGCUUAACACAUGCAAGUCGAGCGGUAAGGCCCUUUCGGGGGUACACGAGCGGCGAACGGGUGAGUAACACGUGGGUGACCUGCCCUUAGCUCUGGGAUAAGCCUGGGAAACUGGGUCUAAUACCGGAUAUGACUCCAUGACGCAUGUUGUGGGGUGGAAAGCCUUGUGCGGCUAGGGAUGGGCCCGCGGCCUAUCAGCUUGUUGGUGGGGUGAUGGCCUACCAAGGCGACGACGGGUAGCCGGCCUGAGAGGGCGACCGGCCACACUGGGACUGAGACACGGCCCAGACUCCUACGGGAGGCAGCAGUGGGGAAUCUUGCGCAAUGGGCGAAAGCCUGACGCAGCGA